AGACGAUGCCAUCGAACAAGUU
rnacentral:misc_RNA from 1 species